rnacentral:RNase_P_RNA from 1 species
AAUUUUGGGUAAUCGCGGUUUAUAUAUAAUAAGCUGAGGAAAGUCCAUGCUCGCACAAGCUGCGAUGCUUGUAGUGUUCGUGCUUAGCGAAAAAAUAAGCUAAGGUAUCUUCUUAGGAAGUUAACGGCAGAAAAACGUGCUAAGGAAUUUAUUCUAUGUGCUAGUAUUCUUGAAAGUGCCACAGAGACGAAGCAAUUGGAGAAAUCCCAUUGGUGGAACGCGGUAAACCCCUCGAGCGAGCAACCCAAACUAUGGUAGGGGCAUUUCUUCCAAGGAAUUGAACAGAGGAAGAGAGCAACAUUGUUGCAGAUAGAUGAUUACCAACAGCUAAAGAUUCACCUGAAGCUUUAGCUGUUACAGAACAUGGCUUACAGAA